rnacentral:rRNA from 1 species
AUUGAACGCUGGCGGCAUGCCUUACACAUGCAAGUCGAACGGCAGCACGGGAGCAAUCCUGGUGGCGAGUGGCGAACGGGUGAGUAAUAUAUCGGAACGUGCCCAGUCGUGGGGGAUAACGUAGCGAAAGCUACGCUAAUACCGCAUACGAUCUAUGGAUGAAAGCGGGGGAUCGCGAGACCUCGCGCGAUUGGAGCGGCCGAUAUCAGAUUAGGUAGUUGGUGAGGUAAAGGCUCACCAAGCCGACGAUCUGUAGCUGGUCUGAGAGGACGACCAGCCACACUGGGACUGAGACACGGCCCAGACUCCUACGGGAGGCAGCAGUGGGGAAUUUUGGACAAUGGGCGCAAGCCUGAUCCAGCAAUGCCGCGUGCAGGAUGAAGGCCUUCGGGUUGUAAACUGCUUUUGUACGGAACGAAACGGUGAGCUCUAAUACAGUUUGCUAAUGACGGUACCGUAAGAAUAAGCACCGGCUAACUCCGUG